ACGGAGGGUGCGAGCGUUGUUCGGAAUCAUUGGGCGUAAAGGGCGUGUAGGUGGUUUGUUAAGUCACGUGUGAAAUCCCCCGGCUCAACCGGGGAAGUGCGCGUGAAACUGACAGGCUAGAGUACCGAAGAGGAAGGUGGAAUUCCAGGUGUAGCGGUGAAAUGCGUAGAUAUCAGGAGGAACACCAAUAGCGAAGGCAGCUCGCUGGGACGGUACUGACGCUAAGGCGCGAAAGCGUGGGGAGCGAACAGGA
rnacentral:rRNA from 1 species